rnacentral:sRNA from 1 species
AAUCUGCCCUAGAGACUCGCAGGGCCUCCGCCUCAUGAUGUCUGAGCCAAGCUCAGAGCUGCGCCCUCUGCGGCCUCGUCUGUUGCAGGGGAGCAGGCAGGUCCCAGGAAGUGCGUGUCCUUCGUCCCCCACGCAGACAUGUGCUGUCUUGAAGCUUCAGCAGCCAGCCGGGCAGGCGUGGCAAACAACACCCCAGUGUCUCGGGGGCACGCGCAGUGUGAGCUACAUCCUCUGCUGGGGCUGUCUUGGGAGUGGGUCUCCAGGUGCCAGGGCCUGGUCAGGGAAGUCCAGCCUCAGCUCAUCGUGGCCCUGGAGCCACUCACAAGGCACACGGGAGCUGGGCUGGGGUGGCAGGUGGGGCGUCGGCAGGACGUUUGUGGGGUGAGGGAGUGCAGGUGUCUGGCUGGGAGCCCAGAGAGUGGUGUGUAUCGCUGAGGCUGGACAAGAGGGAAGGCGGAGAAGCUUGGCCACGUGUCUCCUGAGGGCUCCAGGCAGGGCCCUCUCACCUGCUGCCAGGGUCCCAGCCCGCAGGAGCUUCCCAUCCGCCUGUGAACUCACGGUCCACACGGCGCUGGAGCGUGGGGCACCAUCUGCAGGGCUUGAGGCCAGCAGCCUAGCCUCUGGGUCCACUGGGGCAGGCAAAGUGAGUCCUGCUGUCUGUGGAGCCAGCGUGCUGGGCCGGGCAGGUGGCGUCAUUGGCUGGCGUGGCUGCAGCUCCGCCCUGCCUGGGGCAUUUGUGGGUUUUUGCGAAAUGCGAAAGCAUGAGCUGCUAGUGAUUAACUUUUAAUGCUUUUAAUUUUUAGUAAAUGAGUAAGUGAAUCCCUGACCCCAGGCGCUGGGACCUGGCCUGCACUUCAUGGGCUUUGUGUGAGCGGCUCCGUGCCAUCUGUCGCACACCCACGCCUCAGUCUGGCCAGGCACAGUUUAGGAAUUUUGUCUUCUGGGUGUUUUCUCUCUCUCUCUCUCUCUCUGUGUGUGUGUGUGUGUGUGUAUGUGUGUGUUUUGAGAUUGAGUUUUGCUCUGUUGCCUGGCACAAUCUCAGCUCACCACAACCUCCGCCUCCCAGGUUCAAGCAAUUCUCCUGCCUCAGCCUCUGAGUAGCUGGGACUACAGGCGCCUGCCACCACGCCCGGCUAAUUUUUGUAUUUUUAGUAGAGACAGGGUUUCACCAUGUUGGCCAGGCUGGUUUUGAACUCCUGACCUUGUGAUCCACCCACCUUGGCCUUCCACAGUGCUGGGAUUACAGGUGUGAGCCACCGUGCCUGGCCCGUGUGUUUAUAUUUGUAAAGAAAAAUGGAUGUUUUUGUGUUUCUUAUGUUAGCUGCAUUUAGUUUGUUAAAGAAAAGUCGCGGUUUUGUUUCCCCUGUUUCCUGUGGAUGCACACCGUGCUGUUCUCCCUGGACCCGCUCUGAGGGCCCCACAUCUGGGCUGCAGUUCUCUGUGUGUUGGGGCUGAAUGCUGGCAUCAAACAAUCUGAAAAGAGUCAGCCGCCACUGUUAGGUUUUCUGUUUCUGUCUUGGGGUCAGGAUUUGUGGAUCAGGGACCUGGGGUGCGAGGUGAGGCAGCUUGUUAGGUGGACGAUGUCUGUCUGUGGUUUGAUUGAUAGUGAGAUAAGAUGUGUAAACCAGGUCAUGCAAAUGAGAUCUCAUAGAUGUCAACCACAGAGAUUAAAUUUACUCUCUUCAGCAGCUCUGGGAGGAGGUGAGAUGCCCGUUGGCCGUGUUCUGUGCACGUCUUGGCGUGUGACGAAGGGUGACUUGUCUGCAGAGAUGGAAUGAGGGGGUUGGGUGGGGCUCCUUCUGGACUCAGACCCAUGCCCUCCCACGCACUCCAGGAGGGGGAUGCACAGGCACUGGAAUCUCGGAUGGCUGUCCCCAGCCCCUGCACACGCACCCUGCAGGGUCGGCCAUGUGGUCUCACCCCCAACUCCCAGUCUCUGCACAUGCCCUGCAGGGUCAGCCAUGUGGACUCCCCAGGCUGGGUCCCAAGCCUGGACGCCCUCCACUCCCUGCUGCCCUGAGCUGUCCUGGUGGUGCUUCCACCACGUGGUCACCGUACUAUCCAUCAAGGGGCUGCUGGGCCACCUCCUGCACUAACUCCAGUCUCUGCCAGACACUGCAUCUUCUCCAAGGCCACUGUGAGCGCCUGGCACCUCCUCAGCCCUGUGUUCCUGGGUACAUGCCUUGUUCUGGACAGCACAGGGCCGACUCACACGUGGGACUUGAGGCCCCUGGUUCUGUGCAUUGGGGUCGCUUUGGCGGAGGGGCCCUGAGGGCUGAGGACAUGGGGUGCACAGGGGCCCGUGUGAGGGUCAGGACAUGGGGGUGCAGGCCUCAGGACAGCCAGAGGGACGGUGACCCUGUUUGGGGGGGGGCAUGAGAAUGGGGGCCUUGGGGGUGAGCAGGUGCCCGCUGGUCAGCUUGAAAGGGACCUGUUAUGUUCUGCUUUGGUUUCUUGGUUGCCCAGCCUUAGACUGGAGUGGGGUUCUGGCCUGGAGUAGGCCUGUGUGCAUCCCGCAGAGUUGGCUCAGGAAAGAUCGUGGCUGCAUAUGGUGUGUGGCACGCUUAGGGCUGAAAUGGCUGGGCCGGAUCUGCAGGGAGUCCAGCCGGUGGGCUGAGGGAGGCUGUUGUUCUUUGGAAGGUUGUGCUGGGCAUCACUGCCGAACAGCAAGGACUGCAGUUGAGAAGACUACACGUUCUUGGUCCGCUGGGGCCACGGGGUCCACGGGGGCAAGCAUCCAGGGGGAGUGGGAAUCCUCAGGGUUUGGGUUCCUUGUAAACCAGAAUCGCUUUGGAGAGGCCUCGGGGGCAGGUGCCAUUUGCAGUUCUGGUGUUUUCCGUAGGUUGUGUGUGUGGCUUGGGUGCCCUGUCCCCUGGAGGAAGGAGUGUCUGGUAGCUGCUCUUCAGCCUCUGGUGAGCCGCACCUCCCGCCAUCCCAGCCCCACCCAGCAGGUUGGCUUGGAGUGAGGCGAUUACUUUGUACCUAGACUCUGACAUAAAAGCUGUUAGCUCAGAUUUUUCAACUUAAAAAUGCAAGCCGGGUGCAGCGGCUCAUGCCUAUAUUCCCAGCACUUUGGGAGGCCGGGGCAGGAAGAUGGCUUGAGCCCAGGAGUUGGAGACCAGCCUGGCCAACACAGCGAGAAUCUGUCUCUAACAAGAUGUUUUUUACAUUAGCUAGGUGUGGUGCCGCACAUCUGCGGUCUCAGCUUCUCUGGAGGAUCGCCUGAGCCCGGGAGUUCGAGGCUGCAGUGAGCUGUGACUGUGCCACUGCACUCCAGCCUGGGUGACAGAGUGAGACCCUGUCUCUAAAAAUUAAAAUUAAAAUGCAAACUUCAAUGUGCCAAAAUGUUGUUUUUUAGACAUGCAAGAAAGCACUUCAGCCAAGCAGAAGGGAGCCAGCUGGAUGAGGUGCGCCAGGCCAUGGGCAUGCUGGCCUUCCCACCCGACACGCACAUCUCCCCGUACAAGGACCUCCUGGACCCUGCACGGUGGCGGAUGCUGAUCCAGCAGUUCCGGUACGACAACUACCGACUACACCAGCUGGGAAACAACUCUGUGUUCACCCUCACGCUGCAGGCCGGCCUCUCAGCCAUCAAGACACCACAGUGCUACAAGGAGGAUGGCAGCUCCAAGAGCCCUGACUGCCCUGUGUGCAGCCGCUCCCUGAACAAGCUGGCGCAGCCCCUGCCCAUGGCCCACUGUGCCAACUCCCGCCUGGUCUGCAAGAUUUCUGGCGACGUGAUGAACGAGAACAACCCGCCCAUGAUGCUGCCCAACGGCUACGUCUACGGCUACAAUGUGAGGGGGACAGGGCAGGGGGGCCAGGCUGGCACGCAUCGUCAUUGGGACAGGGCUGUGUGGGGCGGGCAGGGCAGGGGGGCCAGGCUGGCACGCGUCGCCACUGGGACAGAGCUGUCCUCUCACCCCACCCUGCCUUAGCUUCAUUCGAAAUGGAUGAAGGGGUGAGAAGGACAGGCAAGGUGGCCCCAGGAUUUCUUUGGCAGGUGUGUCUUCGGGAAAGAACUUUGCCUGAGAGGAUGAGUGAUUCCCUGGUGGUUCAUUGUGGGGAUUUUCCGUGGAAAUCCGUGUUUACGUUGUAUUCGCUUGCCUUAAUGCAUUCCCGCUUUUAUUUUUCAGUCUCUGCUUUCUAUCCGUCAAGAUGAUAAAGUCGUUUGCCCGAGAACCAAAGAAGUCUUCCACUUCUCACAGGCCGAGAAGGUGUACAUCAUGUAGGCCCCAUGUCGUGAAGCGCACGCCUCGGGGACGGGCUGCGGCGGGCGGGGAGGCCACGCCUUCCUCCUGUCCCUCGCUCCAGCCUGCCACGGCGUUUCUGUUUCUUGCGACCAAAGAUCAGUGAGCAAUGAUAAAUACUCUUAGGAAGAGAGAAAAUAAGGUUUAAUAAGUUUGUACUUGAAAACAUUUUGAUUGGUAGGAUUUUGUAACACGUCAACCAUUUGAUGCUUCGGAAAAGUACUUUCAACUUGCGAAGGAAACUUUUCUUUAAAGACUGACCUAAACACCGAGGGAAACUUUAGAACGUUUAAAAUAUAGGAGUCCGUGAUUUCCCUGUGUUUUCAGUUUCUUUCCUUCUGUGAACGAUGAGACUUGGAGAACGGGCUGGUCCUUCACCGCUUUCUGUUGGCCCUGGCCCGGCCGGGGAAGGUGGCAGCGGCACUGGACUGACCUGCAGUGACCCGUGAUGCCGCGCCACGAGGGACACUUAUGGCUUCAUUCGAGAGCUGCUGCCAAAACGCCUGGCGCCGCCACCGUCGGGCCGGCUUCGAGGACACCCGCCUGCCUCGCGGGCCGUGUCCGCGGGACUGUGUUCGUACGUGCGUAGUUUCGAUAUCACAUCGCGGGGCUGUGUUCGUACGUGCGUAGUUUCAAUAUCACACCCUCUGUGUGCCGCCUUACUUCCUGCUUCGAGAAUGUAUAACGUGGAAAUCCACGGGACCAAGUUUCUGCAGAGGCCUUGCCGGAUGGUUCCACAACUGUAGAGUCUAAUUACUAUCCAUUACAGAAAUUAAUCGUUCAGUUGAAAGAAGUACUGAUGACUUUUCAAAACAAAUGAACCACCGUAGCUGACAGAGAACCGUAUCGUAGAGGUUUGUAGUUAGUGCUUAUUUUUGCAUGUUGAUGUUGACUAGCUAAUAAACUGUAAAUGUAAACCAUGCGAAUAAAAUGGUUUUCUAUUUCUC